rnacentral:rRNA from 1 species
AUUGAACGCUGGCGGCAGGCCUAACACAUGCAAGUCGAGCGGAUGAAGGGAGCUUGCUCCUGGAUUCAGCGGCGGACGGGUGAGUAAUGCCUAGGAAUCUGCCUGGUAGUGGGGGAUAACGUCCGGAAACGGGCGCUAAUACCGCAUACGUCCUGAGGGAGAAAGUGGGGGAUCUUCGGACCUCACGCUAUCAGAUGAGCCUAGGUCGGAUUAGCUAGUUGGUGGGGUAAAGGCCUACCAAGGCGACGAUCCGUAACUGGUCUGAGAGGAUGAUCAGUCACACUGAAACUGAGAAACGGUCCAGAUUCCUACGGGAGGAAGCAGUGGGGAAUAUUGGACAAUGGGCGAAAGCCUGAGCCAGCCAGGCCGCGUGUGUGAAGAAGGUCUUCGGAUUGUAAAGCCCUUUAAGUUGGGAGGAAGGGCAGUAAGUUAAUACCUUGCUGUUUUGACGUUACCAACAGAAUAAGCACCGGCUAACUGCGU